rnacentral:lncRNA from 1 species
CCACAAUGCAGGUAGUACAUAUAUAACAACUACCAAAAGGUAGAAGUAUGUUCUGUGUGGUUGGAGACAAGAUUAACCAUUACUAGUAAUAAGAACAUACUCCAGGAGCAGACCCUUCCAGGUAUCCCCAGUAACUCCGGAGAAUGUAAACUUAAUGUCUCCGGAAGGAUAUAUGUUGAGGAAUUUCCCAACAAAGACUGCUUGAUACCUGCUUGGAUCCAGUGUUAUUGUUUCGGUUCUCUGUUUUGUUUUCCCAUCAGGAAGAUGCAGUGUGAGAGUCACAGGAUGUGUUUCCUUGCGAUCUUUCAUUGAUACAUAAUAAUACACCUUGUACUCACUUCCCAG